rnacentral:rRNA from 1 species
GAUGAACGCUGGCGGCGUGCCUAAUACAUGCAAGUCGAGCGAACAGACGAGGAGCUUGCUCCUCUGACGUUAGCGGCGGACGGGUGAGUAACACGUGGAUAACCUACCUAUAAGACUGGGAUAACUUCGGGAAACCGGAGCUAAUACCGGAUAAUAUAUUGAACCGCAUGGUUCAAUAGUGAAAGACGGUUUUGCUGUCACUUAUAGAUGGAUCCGCUCCGCAUUAGCUAGUUGGUAAGGUAACGGCUUACCAAGGCAACGAUGCGUAGCCGACCUGAGAGGGUGAUCGGCCACACUGGAACUGAGACACGGUCCAGACUCCUACGGGAGGCAGCAGUAGGGAAUCUUCCGCGAUGGGCGAAAGCCUGACGGAGCAACGCCGCGUGAGUGAUGAAGGUCUUCGGAUCGUAAAACUCUGUUAUUAGGGAAGAACAAAUGUGUAAGUAACUAUGCACGUCUUGACGGUACCUAAUCAGAAAGCCACGGCUAACUACGUG